rnacentral:tRNA from 1 species
GUUGAGGUAGUCUAUCAGAUAUCUGAUUUCGACUCAGAAGAACUUACCAUAUAAGCCACAACA